rnacentral:rRNA from 1 species
UACGGAGGGUGCAAGCGUUAAUCGGAAUUACUGGGCGUAAAGCGUACGCAGGCGGUUUUUUAAGUCAGAUGUGAAAUCCCCGGGCUCAACCUGGGAACUGCAUUUGAUACUGGCUAGCUUGAGUCUGGUAGAGGGGGGUAGAAUUCCAGGUGUAGCGGUGAAAUGCGUAGAGAUGCGGAGGAAUACCGGUGGCGAAGGCAGCCCCCUGGAC